rnacentral:rRNA from 1 species
CACGUAGGCGGAUAUUUAAGUCAGGGGUGAAAUCCCAGAGCUCAACUCUGGAACUGCCUUUGAUACUGGGUAUCUUGAGUAUGGAAGAGGUAAGUGGAAUUCCGAGUGUAGAGGUGAAAUUCGUAGAUAUUCGGAGGAGCACCAGUGGCGAAGGCGGCUUACUGGUCCAUUACUGACGCUGAGGUGCGAAAGCGUGGGGAGCAAACA